GUCCCAGUGGCCUAAUGGAUAAGGCAUUGGCCUCCCUAAUAAGCGGAUUGUGGGUUCGAGUCCCAUCUGGGGUG